rnacentral:rRNA from 1 species
AUGCGGGACACUGUUGAAACAAGCCCCCUCUUGCAGUACAGGGCCCAGACUGUAGUGCCAGGUCGCAUAUUGAAAAUGGAAGAGGCCAUCAAGAAUCGUGAUUUUGAAUCCUUUGCCAGGUUAACUUGUGCAGAUAGCAACCAGUUUCAUGCUGUAUGUUUGGACACGAGUCCUCCCAUCUUCUACAUGAAUGAUACGUCACACAGGAUAAUUAGCCUUGUGGAGAAGUGGAACCACUCGGAAGGAACCCCACAGAGGGAUUUCCUGACAAUCAAAUGCAAAGUUUGCCACUUGCACUACUGA